UAGCAGAGGGUGCUAGCGUUGUUCGGAAUCAUUGGGCGUAAAGGGCGUGUAGGCGGUUUGUUAAGUCAUGUGUGAAAGCCCCGGCUCAACCGGGGAACGACGCAUGAAACUGGCAAGCUAGAGUACCGAAGAGGGGGGUGGAAUUCCCGGUGUAGCGGUGAAAUGCGGUAGAGUAUCGGGAGGAACACCUGGUGGCGAAGGGCGGCCCCCUGGGACGGUAC
rnacentral:rRNA from 1 species